rnacentral:rRNA from 1 species
ACUCAAAUGAAUUGACGGGGGCCCGCACAAGCGGUGGAGCAUGUGGUUUAAUUCGACGCAACGCGAAGAACCUUACCUGGGCUCGAAAUGUAGAGGAAUACGGUAGAAAUAUCGUCGCCUAGCAAUAGGCCUCUAUAUAGGUGCUGCAUGGCUGUCGUCAGCUCGUGUCGUGAGAUGUUGGGUUAAGUCCCGCAACGAGCGCAACCCUUAUUACCAGUUGCUACCAUUUAGUUGAGCACUCUGGUGAGACUGCCUCGGAUAACGGGGAGGAAGGCGGGGAUGACGUCAAGUCCUCAUGGCCUUUAUGUCCAGGGCUACACACGUGCUACAAUGGCCGGUACAAACCGUCGCAAACCCGCGAGGGGGAGCUAAUCGGAAAAAGCCGGCCUCAGUUCGGAUUGGAGUCUGCAACUCGACUCCAUGAAGCUGGAAUCGCUAGUAAUCGCAGAUCAGAACGCUGCGGUGAAUACGUUCCCGGGCCUUGCACACACCGCCCGU